CUAUACAAAUCAGAACGCUACAAGUGGGUCUCCUGGUCUCCAGAGUGCGUUCAGUUGCCUAGCGAUGAUGCUGGUCUCCCUGCAGUCAAUGGUGCAGUGGUUGGAUCUGUGACCUGCCAAUCAACU